rnacentral:rRNA from 1 species
UACAGAGGGUGCGAGCGUUGUUCGGAAUUACUGGGCGUAAAGGGCUCGUAGGUGGCCAACUAAGUCAGACGUGAAAUCCCUCGGCUUAACCGGGGAACUGCGUCUGAUACUGGAUGGCUAGAGUUUGGGAGAGGGAUGCGGAAUUCCAGGUGUAGCGGUGAAAUGCGUAGAUAUCUGGAGGAACACCGGUGGCGAAGGCGGCAUCCUGGACCAACACUGACGCUGAGGAGCGAAAGCCAGGGGAGCAAACGGG